rnacentral:rRNA from 1 species
AACGAACGCUGGCGGCAUGCCUAACACAUGCAAGUCGAACGAUACCUUCGGUUCUAGUGGCGCACGGGUGCGUAACGCGUGGUAACCUGCCCUUAGGUUCGGCAUAACUCCCCGAAAGGGGUGCUAAUACCGGAUAAUUUCUUCGGACCAAAGAUUUAUCGCCUUGGGAUGGGCCCGCGUUGGAUUAGCUAGUUGGUAGGGUAAAAGCCUACCAAGGCGACGAUCCAUAGCUGGUCGGAGAGGAGGAUCAGCCACACUGGGACGGAGACACGGCCCAGACUCCUACGGGAGGCAGCAGGGGGGAAUAUUGGACAAGGGGCGAAAGCCUGAGCCAGCAAGGCCGGGUGAGUGAUGAAGGCCUUAGGGUUGUAAAGCUCUUUUACCCGGGAUGAUAAUGACAGUACCGGGAGAAUAAGCACCGGCUAACUCCGUG